CAAACCCCUGCUAUUGCUAAUGUCAUUGUAGUCCAAAAUGUUAAUACUGUAGCGGAACGACCUCUACUUUGCUAUAGUUUGUUCUAUUAGAAUAUCGGGCGUCUUAAAUAUUUUCUUUAUUUGUGGAAAUGUAUGACAUUCUUUAAACCCUACAUUUCUGCUCGGAGUAUUCUUAUGAUUAUUACUUCGUUUGUCACCAUUUAAUAAAGAAGUGUGGCGCCUUUGACUCCGUGAUUCCGUUAAAGGGUUUUAAUCCGGGUCAGUGCUUUUAUUAUUAAAACGUGUUAAAACUAAGCCCGUAACUGAGGUGAAUAAACUGAGAUUUCCCGACAUUAGUGGUUUUUUUGACCUACGAACCCCCGGGACUAAAAAUCCCAUUACAACUUGGCUGCCCAACUGGGACAAAGAAUCCACGUCUAUGGGUAAUCCACGACCUCCAGUAGUUCAUUCACCGAGGAACUUAAGAUCUCGAAGACCAUCAAACAUGGAUGGAUCUAGGAACUUUUUAAUCGAAGAGAGGAAUACGACAGGACCAUUACCGACAGUCGCUUCGGGGGCGAGUCCAGAAGAGAACGCAUCUACAGGAGCAGGCCAAAUAAACACCUCUACGAGAGCGAGUGCGGAAACGGGCGCAAUCCGUAGAAAUAAUGGACAAACAGCCGCAGCAAGAGGGUUGCCGCCAUACCCGGAACCCCCAGGAACACCGAUUAUAGCGUCUGCUACAGCGCUUAUUGAUACGGGAUCAGAAUGUUCGUGUUUAUCUGGAGAAGUUUACGAACAACUCGGAAAUCUGCAAAAUCAAAUACCAUCUUUUUCAGUAACGGGUGUAAAGAUGACUGGGGCUUUUAAAAGUAAUGAAAAGCGGGUAACUCAGCAAUUACUUGUGGAAUUUUUAGUUUUGGAUAAGUACAUGUUUAUUCAUGAAUUUUUACUAAUUUCAAAUUUAUUAUAUCCUAUUAUUUUGGGUGCAGAUUUUUUACGUAUAGUAAACGCUAAAAUAAACUUAAAAGAUAAUUUAAUUUCGGUGUAUAUUGAUAAACAAGAGAUUAACAUUCCAGAGAUAAACGUUCAACACGAGUAUGAAGUGCCAAGAGAAUUGUUAAAUAUUCGACCGGUCGCUGUACGCAAAAAUAGUUUUAAAGAUAACAAUGUUGUUAUUAGUGAAAGAAACAUUUCUUUCAAUACCGAGUUCAUAGAUUCUUUGAAUUAUCUUUUCGACACACAAA